rnacentral:rRNA from 1 species
UAAUACGAAGGAUGCAAGCGUUAUCCGGAUUCACUGGGUUUAAAGGGUGUGCAGGUGGGGUAAUAAGUCAGUGGUGAAAGCCCCCGACUCAAUCGGGGAACUGCCAUAGAUACUGUUAUUCUUGAGUGUGGUUGAGGUGGAUGGAAUAUGACAUGUAGCGGUGAAAUGCUUAGAUAUGUCAUAGAACACCGAUCGCGAAGGCAGUCCGCCAAACCAUUACUGACACUGAAACACGAAAGUGCGGGGAUCAAACAGGAUUAGAUACCCUGGUAGUCCGCACCGUAAACGAUGAUCACUCGUUGUUGGCGAUACACAGUCAGCGACUAAGCGAAAGCAUUAAGUGAUCCACCUGGGAAGUACGACCGCAAGGUUG